AGGGUGGAAGGUGGGGUUUCACAACCAGGGAGUUUUGUCAUGUCCCAUCCAGAUUUCCGUUGGCUAACCUCAGCCUUAUCUUCCUGCUUUGGGCUUCCUCCUGCUGGAGCCCAGGGGCCCUUCAAAACAGCCAGCCUUCCUGCUCGCAGCCUCAGUGCCCAGUUCUCCACCACUCAGGGAGCUUCGCCCAGCAAGCUGAGCUCCGGCUGGCCCCUACUCCUCCCAGCAUCCCUCAGGGCCUCAGGUACAGUAUGGGGCUGAAUCUCCUUCUAGUCUGGGGCAGGGGAGGGCCACGAGUGGGCUCGGUUGGGAUUCCACCUCCAGAUCAGCACAGAGGAUGGGGUAGGGGGGAUCCCAAAGGGGGAACUCUUCUAGAGAUCAUCCUGGGAAGUUGUAAGACUAUUUCUAGGGCUGGAAGGGACCUCAGAUCAAAUCUAAUCUCUGGAUUUUGGAGGGACCUGAAGCCCAGGGAGGAGAAAAUACUUGACUAAGAUCACACAUGGGAUCAUAGGAUCAGGCAAUCUGCUUCAAUUCCCUCGUUUUACAGAGGAGGAAACUGAGGCCCAAGGAGGGGAAGUUACUCGGCCAAGGUUGACUUGAACCAGUCCUGUGACUUCACUUGAGCUAAGAGUAGGUGGAGGGAGUAGGGGCUGCCCUCAUCCCUUGCCUUUGGUCCUACCUGAGGCUUGCUGGGAGGUGUUAUAAAGGGAGGGAGAAGGUUAGAGAUCUGCUCCCUUCUGUCUUGGAGUCCUUGAGGAUCAGGGAAGUGCGCAAUGCUUCCAACACAACCUGACCCAUUACACUCUGUACGGAGCCCCUCCCUUGGGAAAGUACAAAAUAAAAAUGGCAGCCCAAGCCUUCUGGGCUGGACUGUCCCUUCCUGUAACCAUCUACAUGGAGUGAGUAACUGUAGGAGGCUGAAACCAAACCUCACCCCCAUCAACCCAUCAGGAGCCCCCAGUGCUAGACUCAAGGCAGUCUGGAACAGAGGAAAUCUUGGAUGAGCCCUGGAGUUGGGAUCAGACAAGUUGAGGUUGAGUCCCUGGUGUGCUGUUUACUGUCUGGGUGACCUUAGGUAAGUCAUGGCUUCUAAGAGUCUCCCUUUCUUCCUCUGGAUGACAAGGCUAUUAGAUCAUGGGAUCUUAGAUUUACAGCUGACAGGGAUUCAGAGGGCACUGAGUGGGUUCAACCCCCUCAUUUUACAGAUGGGGAAGCUGAGGCCCAGAAGGAUUGUUUGUAUUAUCUCCAAGGUCUCUUCUACCUUGAAACACUCUGACCCCCCUCUGGAGGUUAAAGCACCAUCUCCAUGAUGACCUGGGAGAUAGAAAUUCUGAUAUUCUCUGUGGGAGGGAAACGAUAGGGAAUAACCAGCUCCCAAAGCCUUCUGGGAAUUGGGUUCUGUGCUUAGAUAAGCAGAGGGGUUCAGGGACUCAGGUUGGGGAAGUUUGGGAAGGGGGAGGCAGUGUGGGAGGCAUGUGAGAAGCACAGGACCUGAGAGGAGGAGGAGGAGAAGUGAAAGAGUACGGACCAUUUGGGGGGGAGGCUCCAAAUGCCGUGGCGGAGAGUCUGGGUCGAAGGGCAGUGGGAGGCCCAGAAAGCAUGGGCAUUGGACGUGGGUGGUGGUGCUGAGGGGGUGGGUCGCAGUAGGCAUGGCCGAGUUUCCAGGCAUGGGCUUGGAUGGUUCACUGUCAACUGGGACACGAAGUCCAGGGUCAGUUUGGGGGCCGUUCUGGGCUCUGGGUGACUUCCCUAGUUUCGAAAUAAUGUUGGGAGUUGGGUGGGGAUAGGAUGGGCCCUGCCUACACUUGGAAAGAUCUGUUGCUUGCCAGGUUCCUGCCCUCAGUUAAGAUUGGAGUCCCGGCUUCUGAGAACUUCUCAGGGACUUGCUUCAAUGGACCUGGAGGUCCCUCGCCCCUCGGCUGUCUUUAGAGACCACUGUGGUCUUCUUGUAGUCUCCCUGCCUCUCCUGGCCCACCCCAGAAUUCCCCAAGUCUCUGUAGGCUCUCAAUGACCUUGUGGCUCUCCUGGCCAUCUCUCCACUCGCUGGAUGCCCGAGUCUUCUCAGAGGACCUGUCCUCCUCCCCCAGUGAAGGACGGCGACUUGGGCUGUUCCUGGGACCCAUCAUCUCAUGACCUAGCUCUGCUUCCCAAGGCAGACGCUGCCAAAGCUGGGAGAUGCUGGGAUGAUGGAGACGAUCCAGCGAGAUCACAGAGGGCUCAGCAAGGUGUCAAGCCUGGGCAGAGCCUUAGACUUAAAUGGGUUAGAGUUGGAGAAACCGAGAGGAAGUGACUGGUCCAAGGCCACCUCCAACGUGAGUUAUUAGCAGGUUCAUAUUGUAGCCCAUGUCUCCAGACUCACCGAUCAUGGGAUAGUCUCUUCUCUGCUCUGGGCCUUGGUUUCCCCAACUGUAAAAUGAGGAGGUUGGGCUACAUGAUCUCCAAGGUCUCUUCUUGCUGCGAUUCUGUGGUGCUUUCCCUUGCUAACAGGAUCCCCUGGCCCCUCUGAAAACUCCAUCUGGAGAGCCAAAGGAGCCCAGGUUUUUUCUUCUUGGGUGGGGAUAGGGGUGGAGGAGAAGUGAUGUUUGGAAGGUGGGGGCAUAACCACACAGUGCUCUUUCCACAGUACAGAGAGGCCCACUUAGGCAUGGAGCUGAGGAGUGGUUUCCAGGAGGGUGCUGGGAUUGCUCUUCUGUAAUGGAAGGUACUUUUAUGCCAGACCUCUCCAUCUCUCUCUGUGUCUCUGUCUGUUUUGCUUAUCUCUCUGUGUCUGUUUCUUUCUGCCUCUCUAUCUAUGUUUCUGCCCACCUCUGACUGUCUCUCUCUCUCUCUCUCUCUCUCUCUCUCUCUCUCUCUCUCUCUCUCUCUCUCUCUCUCUCUCUCUCUCUCUCUCUCUCUCUCUGUAUCUCUUUAUGUCUGUUUCUCCCUGUCUUUCCAUCUCUGUCUCUCUGAACUUGUCUCUUUCUCUUUCUUAGUCUGUGUCUCUCUCCCUCUUUUUCCCUCUCUCCUUCUCUUCCCACAUCCUCACCCCUAGAUUCAGAUCCCAGUUCUGACAUCUGUGUGUCACUUUCCCUCCUUGGGCCUCAGUUUCCUCCUCUGUAAAACAAGGAGGUUAGACUAGAUGGCUUCUGAGGGUCCAUUUCAGCAGCAACUCUACGAUCCUCUGUCUUCUCCCCUUCUCCGCCUCCUUUUCCAUCAUCUCUUUUUCCUUUUCUUCCUGUCUGUCUCUUUCUGUUCCACCACUCCAUGCUUGAACCCGUCUCCACCUUCUGUGUCUGUUUCUGUGUCUGUGUCUGUCCGUCUGUCCAUGUCCAUCUCUCUUUCUUCCCCAGGGCUGCACCUGGCCUGUAAGCUCCCCAGUCUCUGCUCUGGCCCAGAUCCUUCAGUGCCACACUCCGUGUAUUUGACAAGCUGAGUUGGACACUCCGUGUCGUAGAGUGUCAGUUUGUCAAAUACCCCAAGUGAGGCAUUUGCCUAGCAACCCUGGACUGGGGCAGGAUGGAUGAUGGAGAAACUGUCUCUGCCAGCCUUGGAUGUCCAGGCCCCAACCUCCGGAAAGCAGAGCUCUCUCUCUAGAGCAGAUGCCAUCUGGAUCCAGGGGACAUUUGGGGGGGAGUUGGAGACGGGUCUUUAGGGACUGUGGGGUGGGAAGGAAAGCUAAGCUUGGUUCCUGCUUAGCCACAUGACCUUGGACAAGUCCCUUCCCUUCUCAGGUGCAAGGAUCCAAUGAGACAAUUUAUGGAAAGUGCUUUGUAAAUUCUAGAACACUAGAUCAAAGUUAGUUAUUAAUAAUCGCAAGGCUUCUGGGGUCUUGUCCCACUCUAGGAGUAGCCACUAUCUCAUUAGAGAAAGGUAGUCCUUGACCCUGUUCAGGUCCUAGAGCUUUGGGGGCCCAGAAACAGACAACCCAGAAAGCAGUGGGGCACAUACCCUUUCCCAAGGGGGAGGAAAGAGGGAGGGCCCAAGCCCCAGGAACACCUGACCUUAUAGGGCUGGGCCCAGUGGGCUUGGUCAAUUUAUCCAAUCCUGUCUGAUCCCUCACAUUGGGAUGGAUUUGGAGUUGGAAAACCCAAGCCCAAUCCUUGAUUCUCACCUGUGUGGCUGUUGGGAAAGUCAUUUCUCCAUCUUAAGACAUAACUUGCCCAGCUGUAAAAUGGAGACAAAUCAUCCCUGCCUUGCCUAUAUAAAACCUGAAAGUUCGAUAGAAAUGGGAGUUGUCACCAUAGUCUAGUGAUUACCAUUCCUACUCAACUGCUGUUAGAAUGGAAGCUCCUUGAGGGCAGGGCCUAUUUAUUUUUGUCAAUGGGGUGGAAUACAGUGGCUGGUUAAUAAAUGCUUUCUAGUGAUUGCUUCCUUAA